AAAAUAGCUUAGGACAGCAAACUCUACAGGAUUAUACUCUAGAGCUUUAGUCUGGCUUCUCCGGGGAGAUGUUGGCUUUUUCUUCAGAUAACAACUGUUCUGCAGGGAAGCAGAUACUGAGAAAGCAGCUCUUAGAAGAAAGAACAGAGAUGACACUGGGAAAGUACUAAAGAUCAGAUACCCAGAAGUGCAAACAAAUGUCAUCUAUUUAAGUAACCCAGACAAUCCAAGAAGCAGUCUGAAGGGAGUUUGAUGCUAAAUUGCUCUGAAGACUUGGGAGGUAAAUCCUAAUCGUGUCAAAGAUUUGGCACAAAGACAUGUUUCAGGGUGAGUUAAUAAACAAACAUGCUGAUGGAUAGUA